GGUCUUGUGGCUUAGUGGUUAGAGCGCCGGUUCACCUCGGUCUGUGAAGGUGAGCGUUCGAUUCUCGCUACGUGCA